rnacentral:rRNA from 1 species
UAGGGAAUCUUCCGCAAUGGACGAAAGUCUGACGGAGCAACGCCGCGUGAGUGAUGAAGGCUUUCGGGUCGUAAAACUCUGUUGUUAGGGAAGAACAAGUGCUAGUUGAAUAAGCUGGCACCUUGACGGUACCUAACCAGAAAGCCACGGCUAACUACGUGCCAGCAGCCGCGGUAAUACGUAGGUGGCAAGCGUUAUCCGGAAUUAUUGGGCGUAAAGCGCGCGCAGGUGGUUUCUUAAGUCUGAUGUGAAAGCCCACGGCUCAACCGUGGAGGGUCAUUGGAAGCUGGGAAACUUGAGUGCAGAAGAGGAAAGUGGAAUUCCAUGUGUAGCGGUGAAAUGCGUAGAGAUAUGGAGGAACACCAGUGGCGAAGGCGACUUUCUGGUCUGUAACUGACACUGAGGCGCGAAAGCGUGGGGAGCAAACAGG